UCGCAUCUUUAUAAACAACCUAAUUUGUCUUCUGGCAAUAUUAGUUCGAAAUUCCAGUUUUAAUUGUUAUCGGACGACGAUUUUAAUAAUGUAAUUUGGCCUAUGACUUCAUAUAAACUACAUAACAGAAACAAUUGACUUAUGUCGUAUAGAAUCUUUUAUAAUACGUAUCCAAGUCACAUUAUCCCCUAAUAGAACAUAAUUUACCGUUCACAAAAUGUAUAAAAGCCUGUGCAAAAUCUAUAUUGACAACCAGCGGUGUUCAACCACGGCUACAAUUAAGAUAUUCAAUCACUUGCUGUUGCUGUUGUAUAAUAUUCUUUACAACCUGAAGAUCUGACUGUAAUAUCUUUUCAUGGAUAGUUUAUGGAAUGGAUUUCAUGGAUAGUUUACGUAGAAUUAUUUGUACAUUAUUUCAUGCUGUAACAGCUAACUGUAAAACACGUAGUUCCUAAAUAAGAAGAAUGGCUACAGGAUGGUAAAUACGAAAUGGCAAUGUCACCUAAACAAAAUUCGCUCGGCGAAUGACAUCAGAAAGCAAAAUUCAUGCAUCGGAAUGUCAGAGUAUAUGAGUGGCGACGAUGCAGUGCGACAACGUUCCAAAUGUGAUUGAAUUUUUGUUGACUCCGCCUUGUUCAAUCUUCCAUUUGGGCGUUUUGAAGAGCUAUGUACUCACUUCAAAUAUAAAUACUUGCACCAUCUUCGGGCAGACGUCGAAUUGAAAUUAGCGAUAAGAAUAGCACUCAAUAUACAUCGGAUUGUCUUAAAAACAUUUUACCGAGAAAGCAAAGUAUAGUAAAUUGGAAACCCCAAUGACGUACGGUAAAAAUAAAAAAAUAUCAAAGUGCCUGAAAUGGUGCCUGAAAAAGUGCCUGAAUUCGCAAGUGCCUGGUUUUA